GUCAAUUGAUUUUAGCUUUGCCACACAAAAUAUCACAUUUCUUAAAGUAGGUAAGUCAUGCGAUUUUAAAUUUCCUACUCAGGAGCUAUGUAGGUGGCAUGAAGAGGAGUGAUGCCUAGUGGGACAGACUGCAUCAGAAGCUCUUUAAACCUCAUAUGUAUUUGGAAUCCCAGCAAAGCAAGAAGGGGUGAAGUGGCUGAGAAGGGCCAGUACCAGUGGUAUGUGACUCCAGGAUCUACUGAAAGAAGUUUGCAUUGCAGGUCCAUUUGUAGAUCUUGAUCUACACAUCAGAGACUCAAUAGUUAACUUUACUCACUAAGAUAAAGGUCUUAUUUAUCUGAUUUUAACAGAUGUAAUAAAAU
rnacentral:lncRNA from 1 species